UACGUAGGGGGCAAGCGUUGUCCGGAAUCAUUGGGCGUAAAGCGCGUGUAGGCGGUUACGUAAGUCUGCUGUGAAAGUCGGAGGCUCAACCUUCGAAAGCCGGUGGAUACUGCGUGACUAGAGUACGGAAGAGGAGAGUGGAAUUCCUGGUGUAGCAGUGAAAUGCGCAGAUAUCGGGAGGAACACCGGUGGCGAAGGCGGUUCUCUGGGCCUGUACUGACGCUGAGGAGCGAAAGCGUGGGGAGCGAACAGG
rnacentral:rRNA from 1 species